rnacentral:lncRNA from 13 species
UAGGAGGGCAGCAGCUUGGUUCCCCUAUUGGACACAUAAGCACAAAGGGAAAUGACAUGGGUUUCUGACAUCAGAAAGACUUCACCCUGUGGGACUGACUGACUCCAGAUGGGAUCCUUUCAAGCCCACCAAGAGGGUGGAUACAGAGCAAAAACCUCAAGAAGACGGAGGCACGAGCAACCAACUUGAGGGAGGCAGGGAAGGUUUCCAACAAAAGUCUUUUUUCCAGGCAUAUUAAACCCAUUGGGGAACAGAUCGUUCAUGGGGUGAGGAAGAUCUGUCUAGCUGCCAGGUGAAGCCUGGACUGGAGGAAGACAAGGAGGCCUGUUCAGAGACCAUUGCAAUUGUGCCCAGGAGAGAAAGCAAUGACUGAGACGAGAAUUAUGGAAACACAUGGGGAUGAAGAUAAUCUCACCCAUACAUCAACAGACCCAGAGGCACCAGCAAAAUAAGCAUUAGGAGUUGGGAAUUAAAGUAUUUUUAAAAGCAAAACGUAAGGGUGACUGUGAUGAUUAAUACUGAGAGUCAACUUCUUGAUUAGACUGAAGGAUGCGAAGUGUUGUUCCUGGGAGUGUCUGUGAGGGUGUUGCCAGAGGAGACUGUUAACAUUUGAGUCAAUGGACUGGGAGAUGCAGACCUGCUCUCGG